rnacentral:rRNA from 1 species
AGCGAACGCUGGCGGCGUACUUAACACAUGCAAGUCGAACGAGGAGCUUCGGUGUAGCAAUACAUCGGAGCUUCUAGUGGCGUACGGGUGAGUAACACGUGGGCAACCCGCCCUUGAGUCCGGGAUACCCUCUCGAAAAGGGAGGCUAAUACUGGAUACGUUCUUCGGAUCGCGAGAUCUGGAGAGGAAAGGUAGCGAAAGCUGCCGCUCUUGGAGGGGCUCGCGGCCCUAUCCAGCUAGUUGGUGAGGUCACGGCUCACCAAGGCUAUGACGGGUAGCUGGUCUGAGAGGACGACCAGCCACACGGGAACUGAGACACGGUCCCGACUCCUACGGAGG